rnacentral:rRNA from 1 species
ACGAGUUGUUGCUGGUCCUCAAAUGGGGGCAUGUGCACGCUCUGUUUACACAUCCACUCACACCUGUGCACCCUCUGUAGCUCUGUGACAUGGGGGACUCUGUCCUCCUGUUGCGGCUCUACAUCUUUACACACACUCUGUAACAAAGUAUCAUGGAAUGUAUGCCGCGUUUACGCAAUACAAUACAACUUUCAGCAACGGAUCUCUUGGCUCUCGCGUCGAUGAAGAACGCAGCGAAAUGCGAUAAGUAAUGUGAAUUGCAGAAUUCAGUGAAUCAUCGAAUCUUUGAACGCACCUUGCGCCCCUCGGUAUUCCGUGGGGCAUGCCUGUUCGAGCGUCAUUAUCACCCUCAAGCUCUGCUUGGUGUUGGGCGCCUGUCCCGCCUCAGUGUGCGGACUCGCCCUAAAGCUAUUGGCAGCGGUCGUGCCAGCUUCUAGCGCAGCACAUUUGCGCUUCUUGAAGCUAUGGUGGAUCAGCAUCCAGCAAGCCCUCUAUAGUUUGACCUCGGAUCAGGUAGGGAUACCCGCUGAACUUAAGCAUAUCAAUAAGGCGGAG